UCUCCAUAUGAACCACGUCCAAGGAAUUUUCAUACCUCAAGUUCCAAUUACAAGGACGAGAGCUAAGAAGCUACAACAAACCUUAUACAGUUAUAUUCAAGCUAUGGUGAGCUCAUCAA